GCAAGCCUACGGGGGGCAGCAGUGAGGAAUAUUGGUCAAUGGGCGAGAGCCUGAACCAGCCAAGUCGCGUGAAGGAUGACGGCCCUACGGGUUGUAAACUUCUUUUGUCAGGGAGCAAUUGGGUCCACGCGUGGGCUUAGCGAGAGUACCUGAAGAAAAAGCAUCGGCUAACUCCGUGCCAGCAGCCGCGGUAAUACGGAGGAUGCGAGCGUUAUCCGGAUUUAUUGGGUUUAAAGGGUGCGUAGGCGGGUUAUCAAGUCAGCGGUAAAAUCGUGGAGCUCAACUCCAUACAGCCGUUGAAACUG
rnacentral:rRNA from 1 species